rnacentral:rRNA from 1 species
UGGGGAAUUUUGCACAAUGGAGGAAACUCUGAUGCAGCGACGCUGCGUGAGUGAUGAAGAUCUUCGGAUUGUAAAACUCUGUCCUUAGUGAAGAUAAUGACAGUAACUAAGAAGCAAGCCCUGGCUAAAUACGUGCCAGCAGCCGCGGUAAUACGUAUGGGGCAAGCGUUGUCCGGAAUUAUUGGGCGUAAAGGGUACGUAGGCGGUUUAAUAAGUCCUAAUUAAAAGGCUAUGGCUCAACCAUAGUAUGGUUAGGAAACUGUUGAACUUGAGUAGAUGAGGGGAAAGUGGAAUUCCAUGUGUGGCGGUGAAAUGCGUAGAUAUAUGGAGGAACACCAAUGGCGAAGGCAACUUUCUGGAAUCAAACUGACGCUGAGGUACGAAGGCGUGGGGAGCAAACAGG